rnacentral:rRNA from 1 species
UCUACGGGAGGCAGCAGUAGGGAAUAUUGCACAAUGGGCGCAAGCCUGAUGCAGCAACGCCGCGUGCGCGAUGAAGGCCUUCGGGUCGUAAAGCGCUUUUCUGGAGGAGGAGGAAGGACCGUACUCCAGGGAGAAGUCUCGGCUAACUACGUGCCAGCAGCCGCGGUAAAACGUAGGAGACAAGCGUUAUCCGAAUUUACUGGGCGUAAAGCGCGUGCAGGUGGUUGGGUAAGUUGAAUGUGAAAUCUCCUGGCUCAACUGGGAGAGGCCGUUCAAGACUGCCUGGCUAGAGGGCGGUAGAGGGAGGUGGAAUUCCCGGUGUAGUGGUGAAAUGCGUAGAUAUCGGGAGGAACACCUGUGGCGAAAGCGGCCUCCUGGACCGUACCUGACGCUCAGACGCGAAAGCUAGGGGAGUGAACGGGGUUAGAAACCCCGGUAAUCCUAGCCGUAAACGAUGUGGACUGGGUGUCGGUGGGGUAAAAGCCAUCGGUGCCGAAGCCAACGCGAUAAGUCCACCGCCUGGGGACUACGGCCGCAAGGUUAAAACUUAAAGGAAUUGACGGA